rnacentral:rRNA from 1 species
GACGAACGCUGGAGGCGUGCUUAACACAUGCAAGUCGAACGAUGAAAUGGAGCUUGCUCCAUGGAUUAGUGGCGAACGGGUGAGUAACACGUGAAUAACCUGCCCUUAAUUUUGGAAUAACCCAGGGAAACCUGGGCUAAUACCGGAUAAGUAAACCUGUUGCAUCACAUGGUUUUGGAAAGUUUUUCGAUUAAGGAUGGAUUCGCGGCCUAUCAGCUUGUUGGUGAGGUAAUGGCUCACCAAGGCGACGACGGGUAGCCGGCCUGAGAGGGUGAACGGCCACACUGGGACUGAGACACGGCCCAGACUCCUACGGGAGGCAGCAGUGGGGAAUAUUGCGCAAUGGACGAAAGUCUGACGCAGCGACGCCUCGAGAGGGACGAAGGUCUUCGGAUUGUAAACCUCUUUCAGCAGGGACGAAGCGAAAGUGACGGUACCUGCAGAAGAAGCACCGGCUAACUAUGUGCCAGCAGCCGCCGUAA